rnacentral:lncRNA from 1 species
CCUUCCCCUUCCCCUUCCCCCCAGUAUACAUAUAUACAUACAGACUUCUCAUAGAAUCAAAUCUAUAAUCGAAUCUUGAAGCUUUCAAGUGGGAGAGAAAAAUGGGGGGUACACGGCGUGGGAGUCAGAAAACUGAAAAGAGCGAAGAAUCAAACGGAGAAAAUGAAAAUGGAGGUGGGAAAGAAAUAGUAGAGUACGAGGAAUCAAGAGCCCAAAGAAUUAAACAAAACAUGGAUAGAAUGAAAAGCCUCGGGAUUUUGGACCUCUCUAAGAAACUCAAGCCGGAACCUAAGCGUCAAAUUGCAAAAACCCUUUCUCAGAAGAAGAAACCCGCACGUGAUGAUCCGCCAAGGCGCUCUACUAGGUGCUCAAUCACUCUCUUCUUCUCAAAACACAAAAUUCGACAUUACUAUUUCUUUUUCUAUGUAUGCGUGUGUACUGGUUUUCUUUUUUGGUUACCUAGAAAACACGAGAGAAAGAAACAAGUCAUCUUUAUAAAUUGUCCCUUAGUUAUUUAUUUUGUUUUUUUCUGAUGAAUUUCCAGUUUUAUUUUGUUCAUGUUCAUGUCUUUUAAUUGUGUGGGGGUUGGGAGAAUGUGAACCCAAAUUUUCCAUCCGGGCCAUUUUUUUCUUGCUAAUGAUGCUUAUAGAAACAGAGAAAUCAUGAAAUUAUAGAUACUGUUUUUUAUUCCUAAUCUUAUAGUUGUCUGAGGAUUUUUAUCAGGUUGCAAGAGAUGCCUCGGGUGAGUUACGUUGAAAUGAAAACUGACAAAAAGGGGAUUCCUGUGAAAAUUGUUGAGAUCCGCAUAGAAGAAGGUGAAAACCCUGAAACUUACACAGAGGAGCAAGAGAAACUUUUGGGCGACUAUAAAAUCCCCUGGACUCUCUUUGUUGACGGAUAUGAUGAAGAAGGGCAGCGCAUUUAUGAUCCUUUCGAGGGAAAGAGUUGCCAUCAAUGCAGGUAUGUACAGAAUGCAUUAAAAUGGUUUGUUUGUUUAGCCGGGCUAUUAAAUUUAUUUUACCAUAUUAACAUUAAAAAAGAAAACCAUCCAUGCUACUAGGAUGAUAUGUAUAUAGGUUUAGGUUUUGGGUUCUAUUGGCCCCGUUUGGUACAGAUUAAUAUAAAAAUGAGAAUGAAAAAUAUAGUCGUUAUGGGGAUAGAAAUUCAAAUUUGGUGGCUUGAUUUGAUUGAUAACAGUCAUAUUUUUCAUUUUAAUGAAGGAAAAGUGGGAAACAAACAGGGGAUAUUUUUUUCCGUGAAUUCGGAACGAGCAACAGUUGAGGAAUGAAAUGAAGGGUGGAAUUUGGAUUCUUCCAUUGGACUUCAUGUACACAGAGGAGAAUAAUUAAAAUUCUUAUUUUAGGAGAAAAAUGUCUUUGUUGUUCAUACAGUAGUUAUGUGCUAUGGGUUUAAUUGUCAUGGAGAAUCAGUACAAGAUUUGGUAGUUCUCGUUCGACUAACUUGACACGCAUUAAUUAACUUAUUCAGAUUGUUUGUAGCUACAACACAUUUAGGAUGGUACAAUUGAUAAAGAAUGAUGGAACCAAAAUGCAACUUGAAAAUGGUAAUAUUGUAACUUGAAAGAAAGCUGAGCAUUUGAUUUGAUUAAUAAAUGGACUAACUUGUUUAGUGCUUAAAUAUUCAAGGACUCCGAUAAAUUUCAAGUAGCAUUAUGAUGAUCUUCUCCUGUGACUAAGACCUUUUUUGGGCUCCAUCAAACCCUUUUUUUUUUCAAAACUCAUUUUUAACCACACAUUUUUCAAUAAAAUAAUAUUUCACGUAAAUUCAAAAUUUUUCCUUACUUUAUAACCACACAUUCUCCAAGAAAAUUACUAUUUCAAAAUACGUUUUCCCCAAAAACACAUUAUGGCCCUGUUUGAGUGGCGAUAUUUUCCAUGGAAAAUGGAAAAUUUUUUCCACAUUCCAACUUUGUUGUUUGAUAGCAAAAGUUUUUCAAUUAAUUUUCCAUUUUCACUUCCUAGUACCUUUUCGUGCAAGUUCAUUAAGUUUGAUAUAACCAAUAACAAUUUCAAUUCCUGCAGACAAAAAACUCGGGGUCUGCGCACUGAAUGCAGCAAAUGCAAGAUUGGCACUGGACAGUUUUGUGGAGAUUGCUUAUACAUGAGGUUUUUGGAAAAGAAAUAUUCGCUUGCUUUCAUCGUUAUUUGUGUUUGAUUUCAUCUCAAGCUGCAAAUGCUGUAUUGUAUUCUAUUCAUGCAUGCUUUUAAUGAAUUAACAUGUAUAUCAAAAUUAAUUUAGGGAUAGGCGGUUCUUUUGUUCCCCUCCUAAGCUUAAAUGGGGAGUUUGGGAUUGCCCCCUACUUAGUAUAUUGACUGAAAGAAUUACUACAAAUGGAGGGGUGUAUGACCACCUUACCUUGUAUUGUUACCAAGGGGGAAUGGGGCAUGGGGGAUCUUUUUUUCUUACACAUACCCACAUUCUUUCCAGAAAGAUCAGUGCACCAAUCACAGUACCCAAAUUUAUUGGAUUUAUUGCUAAAAUAUCAGUACUAAAUUUGAAACUCUUGACAGAUUGCUAGUGUCCCAAAGAAACGGAAGAAUUGGUUACAUUUUUCAUACAAUCUCCUCUUAUAGAUAGACUAAAAAAUCUAUCACAGUUUCUUUCGUAUCAGUCGCUUAUUUAUACUUACAUUCGUUUUUUAAAUCGUGAAAAAAAAAAUAAAAAAAUCGAGUUAUAAAGUAUAAACUUCCACCUUGCUAUUGCAAAACUUCCUAAAAAGAGUUUCCCUAGGAUGGGUAAGGAUGAAAGCGAGUCGGUAUGAUAAUUACUCAUCUCAUCUGCAAAUCAGCCCUUCUUCUAGGGUAUUUUCUCAUCGAGUAAGUGAGUGUAGGAGUGAAAUCUUGGUAUAAUUGGAAAAAACAAUCAGGUCUAAGGCAAUAAAAUAUAAAAAAAUGAACUUUUACAAUCAAAUAAGUGACAAAACUACCUAAUUCUUACAUUUGGACCAUUGAUUGAGCUUGAGGAAUCAAAUGACAUCACCAUGGAUUUCAUCAGUCUGCAGUAUUCUGGAAGGUUUCUCCUUAUAGCCUGUGUCAGCCAAUCAAUUAGCUAGUGUUUCCUUCCUUCAAAUCUAUGUACGUGAUAUCUGCACCCUUCAUUGCCAGUUCCAUAUUUCUUCUAGUAGCUAUUGAAUAUGUCAAGGGCCUGAAUUAUUUUGUUGAAGCAAUUGGAUAGAUGUAAGUGAAUAAACUUCUGCCCGAAUAUGACUGGAGCUUUAUCCGAACAUAGUCGCAAUCCAGUGUUGAGUGCUCUUAACUCCAUGGUUUAAGAAAACCCAAUUGAAACCUAUCUUAAGCCUCACGGCACUUCCUUGAAGCUUGUGGCUACAACACUUAGAAAUUCUUAUUGAUCCAUUUUGAGAAUGGCCAACUGCCUAUUAAAAUAAUAAAAUAUUAUGCUUUUCAGUUUCUUUAUAAAUUGUUCUUUUGUUUGUUUGCGAACUUUAAAUUGUUCAUUAUGAAUUUAUAAAAUUGUUUAUAAUGUAUUAUGAGUUUAUUUUGCAUUAUAAUAAAUUUUAGACAUUUUUAUGGUUUUUGUGAGGCUUACGCCUCAAUACCCGAUUACACUUUUUAAACAUUGCUUAAUUCUGCCUCUCCAAGUCCGAGAAAUUCCCAUAAUAUACGUAAAAGGCUCCUAGAACUUUUCCUUCAUAAUUUCUGAUUACUCACCCUCACCAUGCUACAGGUUGGAUUGACUGCUUGAGGCAUCCAUCUGUGCCCGAGUCUAACAAUCCCAUUUGUGGUUUCCACUACUUAUCUGUAGUGCAUUACUGGUUAGGAGUUUUUAACAUUUACCCGGACUUUGCAAGGGAACAAUCUUUCGUAAUUAGUCCUGCCGUGCUCAUUAUUCAUUAAGUUCAAUAAAUGUUUAACUCUUUUAAUCACCCUUGAAGCUUGCAUUUUUAAUACCAGAAUGCUAGGAGAUAUUUCUUUCAAGCCAUAGAAACCAAAAUAAUUAAUAGAGGUAUAAUGGUAUGAAUAUAUCCAGUUUUGUUCAAACAGUCAGCAAAUCUCCAGAAGUGGGAGCAAAGUUGGAGGGUUUAGAUGAAAGAUUUUACUCCAAUAAGCUGAUACCUUAUCUGCUUUUGGUUUUUUACAUUUAAUACUGCAUGAUUAUUUAUGCACAUUUUUGCUUGAUUAUUUCAUCCACAUGGAGCUGCUGAUGCCAACCCAUCCAAAUGAAGAAUGAUAUUUGAGAGGGAUAGAUUUGUGCCAGAUAUAUAGAUGAAGAAGGAUACUCCUUUUUUUCUUGAUUAAAUCUCAGCACUAUGCAAUGAGAACUUUCCAUUUUGGUUAAGUACCAGUAUAUAAUAUCAGCUCCUGUUAAUGUUGCUGGAAUCUUCAAAAACACUUCUGUGACUGGUAGGCAUAAUUAAUAAUAUUAUUUAAUAUAUUUAGCCUCAGUUUGGGAAGAAUUUAUAAACGGUUUAAUUUAUAAAUAUAUAUAGAAAUGAGUGGUGGAUAAGUGAUAGUACUUGUGGAUCCAUUGAAAUGUGUAGUUGGAAGUUUAACCAUUUAUAAAUGAUUUAAAAGUAAUUUAGUUGUUAGCCAAACAGGGGCUUAAUUUUAUUUUAGAACCAUAGAAAAAUUCUUAUUUUAAUUAUUAAAAGGGCAGAAGUAUCUAGAAUGUGGAACUGUUGAGAUAUCUGAUACCCUAUUGCGCCUUGUACACAGCAAGUUUCUCGGCCUUGUUUAAUUUUAGUACACUGAUUUUAUAUGUUAUUUUCUUUCUCCUUAGUGAGCGAUACACUUCUUCGUCAUCAUCAUAGUUAACUAUUUGGGAUUGUCUUGAGAUUUGGGAGAAAAUCGAAACAACACUUAGUUUUUGGUUGUUACCAACUAAGGGCCUGUUCGACAUAAAUUUUUUGAGAAUAUAUUUUAAGAACAGCGAUUUUUUUGGAGUGGUUAAAAAGUAUGAAAAGUUAUAGGUUUAAUUGCAAAAUUAUUUUAUUGGAAAAAUGUGAUUGAAAAUGAUUUUGGAGAAAAAAUAGUUCUAGAAAAUGUAUGCCAAACAGGGGCUAAUUAAAACCAAUAACUGAAUGCAACUAGUCCUCUCUUUAAUUUUUCUAGGUAUGGGGAGAAUGUAACAGAAGUGAAUCAGAAUCCAAAUUGGAUUUGCCCUGUCUGUCGGGGAAUAUGCAAUUGCAGUCGCUGCAGAAGAGAUAAAGGAUGGGCACCCACCGGAAAUAUCUACAGGAAGGUAAAGUUGAUCUACCUUCAUUUGUUGAUGCUUAUUUGCAGACAAAUUUUUGAAAUUCUCUAGAAUUGGUUCUGGAAAAUCGAAUGGCAUCUAUAAUCUAUAUCUAUUUGGAUGAGAUUUGAAAAGUUAGUUUAUAGUAAGCUUUCUAAUAAAUAAAGUUAUAGUCGGAAAUAAUAAGAGAAAAGCUAACGUAUACCAAUAUGUUUUGAACAAAAAGUUAAAUUUGACAAAUUUUUAAUCUUAGCCAAACACACUCAUGUUCUUUAUUAUUCAUAAACUGUUAAUUUCAGGUAGAGAGACUUGGUUUCAGAUCUGUGGCACAUUAUCUUAUUGAGACCUUUGGCAAUAAAGCAAACCUGGUAGCGGCAGCUGGUGAAAUUCCAGUUUCUGCUUGUGGAUCAAUUUCAAUUGGAGAUAAAAGAGCAGGGAUUGACGAUGAGAAAGAUGGAAUGGAAGAUAUCAAUAGGGAUCAGGACAGUGAUGAGGAUUAUAGUGGUGAAGAGGAGGAUAAGGAUGAGGAUAGUCGAUAACCCUAGCCAGAGAAAUCAAGACAAGGGCAGUUUACUAGAAGACUAAACCUAUUUUUGCUACACAGAACGAAGCUUUAGAAGGGGUAAUCUAAAGUGGCCAGUUCUUUUUGACGAUUUUGAACUGCUAAUCCCAUCCAGUCAUGCCUGUCCAUCACAAAAGCAUGUAUAUUGAUUUUUGUCAGAUGACAGAAGGCUUAGAUUUUGUUGUGUUUCAAAGUUUCAUGGUGUAGCUAUCUUCAAAUCCACAUGUAUUGAAUGCUAUGAAUCAGUAUAUCCGCAUUCCAUUCUGCUUGAGAUUCUCCGGUGGCUUGAACUUGAGUGGAAUAGAAUUUUUAUUUUUAUUUUAAAAAAAUGAGUGGUUGAAAAAAAAUAAAAUUUUUUUUUAUUUA